UACGAAGGGGGCUAGCGUUGCUCGGAAUCACUGGGCGUAAAGGGUGCGUAGGCGGAUUGCUAAGUCAGGGGUGAAAUCCUGGAGCUCAACUCCAGAACUGCCUUUGAUACUGGCGAUCUCGAGUCCGGGAGAGGUGAGUGGAACUGCGAGUGUAGAGGUGAAAUUCGUAGAUAUUCGCAAGAACACCAGUGGCGAAGGCGGCUCACUGGCCCGGUACUGACGCUGAGGCACGAAAGCGUGGGGAGCAAACAGGG
rnacentral:rRNA from 1 species